UGGCCUUCAGCCAAGUAUUGUUUUUAAUAGCAAAAUACACUGAGCUGAAAGAGUCUGUGGGAAAAAAGGUGGCCCACGGUCAAAAAAGGCAAUGUGGCAAAAUAUUGCUACUAUGAUUGAUGAAGAGUUUGGAGGCACUACAACAGCCGUGCAAGUUGAAAAUAAGUGGAAAAGUCUCGAGAGGGCCUACAAGCGAACGAAGAGCAAGAAUGGUUCCUCCGGACAUUCACGUGUUGUCAUCUGAAUUUGAAGAGGAGCUCAGGGACAUCCUUCAAAAGGAGCAUCAUGCGUCCCAACAAUUCUUCUCGCACCAGGAAGCAUGGCGGAAAAGAGAACAG
rnacentral:lncRNA from 1 species